GAUGAACGCUGGCGGUAUGCUUAACACAUGCAAGUCGAACGGACUCUUCGGAGUUAUUGGCGGACGGCGGGGUAACGCGGGAUAAUCAGGCUUUGGGUUCGGUGCAACCACUGGAAGCGGUGGCUCAUACCGGAUGUGCCGAUAGGGGAAAGAGGAAUUGCCUGAAGAUGAGCUCGCGUCUGAUUAGCUAGUUGGUGAGGUAAACGCUCCCCAAGGCAGAGGUCAGUGGCUUGUCUGAGAGGAUGACCAGCCACACUGGGACUGAGACACGGCCCAGACCUACAGGAGAGGCAGGAGUGGGGAAUUUUACGAUAUGGGCGAGCGCCUGACAGAGAAACACCGCGUGAGAGAAGAAGGUUCGUGGGUUAUAACCCUCUUUCCUUAGAGAAGAACAGAAUGACGGUAACUAAGGAAGAAGCACCGGCUAACUCCGUG
rnacentral:rRNA from 1 species